AGAGUUUGAUCCUGGCUCAGGACGAACGCUGGCGGCGCGCCUAACACAUGCAAGUCGAACGGAGUUAAGAGGAGCUUGCUUUUCUUGACUUAGUGGCGAACGGGUGAGUAACGCGUGAGUAACCUGCCUCAGAGUGGGGGACAACAGUUGGAAACGACUGCUAAUACCGCAUAAGACCACGGGGUCGCAUGGCCCUGAGGUAAAAGGAUUUAUUCGCUUUGAGAUGGACUCGCGUCCAAUUAGCUGGUUGGUGAGAUAACGGCCCACCAAGGCGACGAUUGGUAGCCGGACUGAGAGGUUGAACGGCCACAUUGGGACUGAGACACGGCCCAGACUCCUACGGGAGGCAGCAGUGGGGGAUAUUGCACAAUGGGGGAAACCCUGAUGCAGCGACGCCGCGUGGAGGAAGAAGGUUUUCGGAUUGUAAACUCCUGUCGUAAGGGACGAUGAUGACGGUACCUUACAAGAAAGCCACGGCUAACUACGUGCCAGCAGCCGCGGUAAAACGUAGGUGGCAAGCGUUGUCCGGAAUUACUGGGUGUAAAGGGAGCGCAGGCGGACCGGCAAGUUGGAAGUGAAAACUAUGGGCUCAACCCAUAAACUGCUUUCAAAACUGCUGGCCUUGAGUAGUGCAGAGGUAGGCGGAAUUCCCGGUGUAGCGGUGGAAUGCGUAGAUAUCGGGAGGAACACCAGUGGCGAAGGCGGCCUACUGGGCACCAACUGACGCUGAGGCUCGAAAGUGUGGGUAGCAAACAGGAUUAGAUACCCUGGUAGUCCACACCGUAAACGAUGAUUACUAGGUGUUGGAGGAUUGACCCCUUCAGUGCCGCAGUU
rnacentral:rRNA from 1 species